GCUGGGUAUGGUGGUGCACACCUGUAAUCUCAGGAACUCAGGAGGCUGAAGCAGGAGGACCACAAGUUCAAGGUCAGUCUCAGCAAUUUAGUGAGACCCUGUCUCAA
rnacentral:sRNA from 1 species